rnacentral:rRNA from 1 species
GAUGAACGCUGGCGGCGUGCCUAAUACAUGCAAGUCGAGCGAACAGACGAGGAGCUUGCUCCUUCGACGUUAGCGGCGGACGGGUGAGUAACACGUAGGUAACCUACCUAUAAGACUGGGAUAACUUCGGGAAACCGGAGCUAAUACCGGAUAAUAUUUCGAACCGCAUGGUUCGAUAGUGAAAGAUGGCUUUGCUAUCACUUAUAGAUGGACCUGCGCCGUAUUAGCUAGUUGGUAAGGUAACGGCUUACCAAGGCAACGAACCGUAGCCGACCUGAGAGGGUGAUCGGCCACACUGGAACUGAGACACGGUCCAGACUCCUACGGGAGGCAGCAGUAGGGAAUCUUCCGCAAUGGGCGAAAGCCUGACGGAGCAACGCCGCGUGAGUGACGAAGGUCUUCGGAUCGUAAAACUCUGUUAUUAGGGAAGAACAAACGUGUAAGUAACUGUGCACGUCUUGACGGUACCUAAUCAGAAAGCCACGGCUAACUACGUG